GGGGAUUUAGCUCAGUGGUAGAGCGCUUACCUGGCAAGCGCAAGGCCCUGGGUUCGGUCCCCAGCCCCG
rnacentral:tRNA from 1 species